AGUAAAGUUGGAGGCAAUGAAAAAUUCCUUUUAUGUGGGCACUUUAGGAAUUUGGAGCUAGUGGUGCAACCUGCCAACAAUUAA
rfam:Clostridium magnum DSM 2767 CLMAG_contig000003, whole genome shotgun sequence.